GCCAGAGCGCCAGCAGCGCCCACAGCAGAGCGGGGCGCAGGGCGGGUAUCUUCUCGGUCGCCUCCUCCGCCGCCGCCGCCGCGGCCGCCUGGGCAGAUCCACAUGGGGAGGGGGUCCCGAUAGAGGAGCCCCACUCUCUCCUCCCCUCCUCCUGCUUCAAAGGCUCAGGCCCUGGCGCUACGCUCCGAAGCCCAGCGCAAAUGCCUCGACUCCCCGCGCCCCGAGUCCGCCGCUCCUCGGCCGCCGCCUCAGCCGCCGCCCGAAGUUUGGCUGAAACUUUCUCGGGUGUGCAGCGAAGCAGCCUCGUGUGUCCUUCCGCCUCAGCCGCCUCCUCCCACCGCAAGCCCCGCCCCACUGUCGCCGCGGCCUCGGCCCCGCCGCCUUGGGCACCCAGGGGUUUCCCGCAGGAAGAAGCGCCGGCCCGAGCUCCGCGCGGAGGGAUCUACUACGAGUCACUGGCCCCGUCCGCAUCCUUCUCCAGCGGCCCCGGGGGCCGCCGCGCCUUAACUCGAUCAGGGCUGCAGCGGCUCGCUGGCUUGACCAGUGCAGAAGGGGCGUGGAGGUGAGCGGGGUGGGGUAGGACUCUGAACUUCAAGCACUGGAGUUUGCCGGGAUCGUGAACUUGCAGGGAGAGGCGGUCCUCAUCCAGUGAGGUCUGUAUCGCCACCUACACCCACACAUCCACACACUGCUUUGCUAGCUAGAGGAAUGCUCUGGAGUAGGACCAGUGCUGUCAAAGAAGGAAAGUGGGCCAAGGCGCCAAAGUCCAUUAAAAAGGAAUAGAGCCAUCACGGAGUGGUGCUGCCCCAUUCAUUCAUUCAUUUGUUCAUCCGUGUAGCGAAUAUUUCUUAAGUGCCUUACUUUGCGUAGCUGUGUGCUUGGCAGUGGGAUGAUACCAAAGAUGCACAAGCAACUUUGAGUACCAAGACUUUGCCGCUGUGGGCUGGGGGAUUCAGGGAAGGCUUUCCCAGAGGAGCUGGGAUGAAAGCAGGAUCUUGAAAGGUCAGUAAAAUUUGUAUAAGACAAGGAGACCAGCUAAGCUAAGGAUAUUCGUUGUAACACUGUAAUAGCAAAACCUUGAAAACAACAUAAAUGCCCACCCUUAGAGGAAUGGAUGAAUAAUGUAUGGUAUAUUUAUAAAAUGAAAUGCAACACAGUAAUUGAAAAGACUAUAGCUAUUUAUGUCAAUAGGGAUAAAUCUUAAAAACUAAAUGACAGUGAAAAUAAUCGCAGAGGGAGACAAAGUAUACCAUUUAUGUAUAUUUUUUUCAAGACAAUACUACACAUUAUCUGUGGAUGCAUAUAUAUAGAUAUAGAUAUUAAGAGACUAUAACCAGAAUAGUAGUUACUUCCAGGGCAGGAGAGUAGGGGGUGUGAUCAAACCUGGGUACAAGUGGGCUUCUAAGAAAAGAGCUAAAAGUAAGAACAACAACAAUAGUUGUAUGGACAUAUCAUUCCGGGAAAGAGCCCUCGUGAAAGCAAAGGUACAGUCAGAAGAGUAAGUAAAUGAGUUCUGUCUCUGUUAGCAGUGAGAGGAGUCAAGGACGGAAAGGGGGUUGGGACCAAAUUAUGCAGCCUUGAAUGGCAAGCUGAAAGGGUGGGGAGGCAGCUACCUCUUAGGUCACAUAAAACUAUUGAAAGUUUUUGAACAGAGUUGAGAUUGAUGGAAAGGAAGAUUGCUCUGAUAAUUCUGUAGAAAAUUGAUUGUUGGGAGCAAGAGGUGAACUGGAGCCCCAGGACCAGUCAAGAGUUGGUGAACAGUCCAGGCACAAAUUUAAGAAGACCUGAACUAAUAAGGUAGAUUUCAGAAGGAAUGAAUCUGAGACAAUGUUAAAGAAACAGAAAAAAAAAAUGGAGGUGUGACUAAUUGGAUGUGGGAGUUUACAAUCCUGUUGGGAUGAGAAAUCCUACCCAUAGAACCUCUCCCUGACUCCUAUAGGAUAAAAUUCAAACUUCUAAACAUGGUACAUACAAGGCCUUUUCGUCAUUGGGCCCCAUCUCCUGUCCUCCCUGCCCCUGUUGUGAACUUCACACAAUAACAGUAUUACUUGAGAUUCCCCCAAACAUAUCUUGCUGUUUCUGUCCCUGUAUCUUUUGUUCCUUUGGCUUGGAAUGACUCCUGUAGUCCCCUUCCCUCCUCCUCUUAAUGAACUUCUAAUCAUAAUUCAUCCUUCAGUCCAAAGAAGGCUUUGCCGACACCACAAUAAAUUCCUCCCUCUAACAGACAGUCCCUCCACUGUCUUCCACUGCCGCUUCUUUAUCUUAACACCGAUACUUAUUUUUCACACAGGACUCUUUGUAUUUCUGUGUUCUCAACUAAGUUUUGAGGUCCUCAUGGGCAAAGACCACAGCCUAUUAAUCCCCAGUGUCUAUCACAUAAUAGAUGUUGAACUAGAAUGUAAAACAACACUAAGCAAGUACAAGUCAGUAUGGGCAUAGACCUAUGAAGUUCCAAAACUGCAUGUUAACAAGCACUUUAGGUAAGCAAGUAUCAUUAGUGAAAGUAGUCACAUUGAAAUACUGGAAACCCUUUUCAAAAAUAACGUAGUCAAAAUAUUUUUGGAAUUUGUCUUGUGCAAGUAUGUUCAGAGAAAGAUAACAUUAUUUUUCAGUUGUUUACCCACAGUGUUACCAGUUCGAUCUUCCUCUUUACUCACUAAAGAUAAUUCAUAGUGACUUGGCUGCAUACAAAUUUUAAAAAUCACCUGCAAAGAUAAGUUUUGUCACUAUUAAAAUAUAUUCAGAAGAAUAUAAGAUAGUUAUCCCCAAAGAGCAACUCUAGAAGCGACUGUAGCUAUGACAACAUUAUUAAAAUAAAUGUGCAGGCCAGGCGUGGCGGCUUAUGUCAUAAUCCCAGCACUUUGGGAAGCUGAGGUGGGCAGAUCACCUGAGGUCAGGAGUUCGAGACCAGCCUGGCCAACAUGUUGAAAACCCGUCUCUACUAAAAAUACCAAAAAUUAGCCGGGCAUGGUGGCGAGCACCUGUAAUCCCAGCUACUCAGGAGACUGAGGCAGUAGAAUCACUUGAACCCAGGAGGCAGAGAUUGCAGUGAGCCAAGAUCGUGCCACUGUACUCCAGCCUGGACAACAAGAGUGAAACUCCGUCUCAAAAAAAAAAAAAAAAAAAUAGGUAUGCAGUUUCUCAAAGUAACCGUUUUAAAGAAAGCAGCUAUUAUGUUCACAUAUAACUUUUGUUGAAUGUGUUACAAUAUGAAAACUUACUGCAUACAUUCUGGUAAGGACAAGAGAAGUAAAGAGUAAAUAUGAAUGGAAGUAAGGGAAAAAUAUGACUGAAGACAUUUUUUAAAGAUAAGUUUUAAUGAUAGAAAAAUAUGAGUAAGGGCUACCAAUUGUUUUAGUUUUAAUCAAAACUAAAAAUAUACAUCUAUGUCUUUACUGAUUUAAACUCACAUAAAACUGCCUUCCAAAAUAAAUGCAGAAUUGGGCACUUAUUUGUUCUCAUGUCUGUCCUCUCAGAGCCGACAAGCUGUAAAAAACUCUCAAAAUAAAACUCUGUUUUAUUUUCUGUUUUGCCCCGGUUUCUAUCACAUAAGUGCUCAAUAAUAUAUGUUUUACAUAAAUGCUGAAUGAGGAACAUAUAUAUCUAUAUAAACUGGGGAGCAGUGCAAGACUGGAAGAAUGUCUUGGUGUGUUGGAGAAGUUGAAGAAGAGAUUGUGGGAUAGCUAUGACACAUAGAUUGAGCUACACCACGAAUCUCUCCAUGUAACCCAGGAACCCAAGGAUAUGUGAUGAGAUGUUUGUGGAAGCAGGAAUUAAAAGGAAGAUUUCUUUUAAUAAUGCCUUGCAGUUGCACAGUGAUUUAGACCUUCCAAAAACACUUUUAAUUAUAUUAUCUCAUUUGAUCCUCAAAACAAUCGUGGGAAAUAGGCACCCCAGUCAUUAUUAUCCCCAUUUUGCAGAUGAAGAAACUGAGAUAGAGCUUUAAGUAUCUUGCCCAAGGUUAAAUAAGUAAUUAGUGAGCUGAGACAAACCCCCCACUAUUUCUGUCCUCUUACUCAGUCUCACUCCACUGUACCUUUGUGCAACAAUGUGAAGCACAUCCAAGAUGAUAUUUAGUGUGGGGACCUCUGCGUAGAGGGACACCAGUUUCUUGUCACUUCCAUAUUAGCACAGAACAAGCUGGCCCACUGUAACUAGGAAACAUAAACAAGUGAAUACAUUCUUUUAAUUUAAAAUUUUUUUGAGAGCCUGUUCUCUAUAAAGCACAUACUAGGCUCUGCGGCAAUGCAGAAAUAAAUAAAACCUAGUCCCUGUUCUUUGGAGAUCACAGAGCAGUGAGGCAGGCCAACAUACAAAUAACAUAACUACAACAGAGAUAAAGCACAGGGAUAUGGGAAAGUAGAGAGCACUGGGAUUAAUUUUGAGUCCACUUUCCUCUCAUCCAGUCCCCAGCCUGAAAGAUAUGAACUGUGGUGGCCCACACAGCUGGACUGUAAACCAUGUGACAAGAGUCAUUUCUUACCCCUUAUUCAUGUUUGUAAACUCCACAGUAGUUGGUUCUUUGCCUUGCAUAGAGUAUGUGCUCAAUAAAGACCUACUUUCUGAAAGGUUCACAGAGUUCAGCCAAACACAGGACAAGUUCUAGAAGGCAAGACGUUAACCUCAAGAUUCAAACUAGCUCUGAGAAUUAAGAACCAGCCAGACCCUUCCACUGAGCCUAGACCCAAUUAAUUACCUCUGCUCUAAUUAAGGGAAUCAGUAAUGUACUAACAGUCUAAGCAGAAAAAGAAGAACAGAUGGUGGUAAGACCUAGAAUGUUUACCCCAUUAAGAUCUAUAUCUGAAUCCAGAAGGAACACCUCAUUGCCGAGAAGAGCCCUGCAGACAGUUCACACCUCUGUUUCUUUUGCAAGAUAUAGCUACCUCAAAAAAUCCUUUCUUGAUCAAACUCUUAUGGCCUGGAAUCCUUGCGUUUCUGCUGAUGACUGUCAUUUUAGAGUACUUACUAAAGACAAUGGUUGGGGAAAUAGAUAUUUUAAAAAUAAGGGAAAAAGUGGGUAGGGUAAACCCAGGCUUACUUAUGUAAACUCUGAGUGCUGAAGUUAGAAGACAACUUUUAAGAUUAAAAAAAAAAAAAAAAAAAAAGAUUUCUGGUAGCCGCCAGAAGCUAAGAACAGAUUCUCCCUCUGAGCCUCCAGAACCCAGAUGACACCUUGAUUUCAGACUUCUGGCCUCCAAAACUGUGAGAGAAGAAAUGUGUUGUUUUAAGGCACCCAGCUGGUGACAGUUCAUCACAGUAGCCACAGGAAACUAAUACCCAGCCCCAUGGCAGGCAUAGGUCAAGCCUGGCACAGUCUGGAUCUCAGUCCCUGACUCAGACCCUGGAUGCUCGCUGCCUUGUACAGAAACAACCUGCUCAACCAAACAGGGUGACCCUGCUGAAGCCGCAAAUGUCCAACAGUCCUGCCAACCGUGGAUGCUUCUGUAGCUUCCCUUUAGCUCUCCCUCCUGGCAUGAAACCAGACACAGACUACCCAGAAGAUGAACUGAGCACUCUGCAAUGGGCCCAGCACGCUGCUGCAUCUGAGACCAUCUUCUCGGCCCUAACAACCCUGGCAGGCUCUUCUCUCUGGUGGGGAAAUUGGGCUUAGGGAAAGGACAUCUUUAGGACAGUCAUCCCACCAAGUAGAAUGACUCUAUGCAGCCUGAAUACUGUUUCCCUGGGAGGAAAAAAAUCCAAAGCAUAAACUUUUAUAAGCUGUUUUAAUUAAAACACUCUUUGUAAAGUGAUGUAUUUGAAGCAAGGGAGGAGAAAGGUUUUCUGGCAAAAGUGUCUUUUGUGGUGUUUCUUUGGUGAGCAAAAGGAACUCAACUGAUGAAAACACCAAAGCACAAACAUUCUGUGGCCAGUAAAGUGGGUGGAGGGGGCAAUGGAGACAACCUCAGGUGGGGCCCAGCUUGUAACGCUGGCAGGGCUCUGUUAAUGUGCUCCAUAAAGGGCUUUGGAGGGCAGGAGGAGCACCACCAACAUUUUAAAUGUGAGGCCAACCAUAAAACGAUUCAUGAUUAGUCCACUAAAAUGUGUUUAUUGGCAAAUAGGAAAGAGAUCCCUGAAAAUAAGCAGGAACAGGUGAUUUUCAAGGCUGACUUAGGUCUCCUAUUCAGCUACUCAACAAUUAUAUCCGAGCUACGUGCAGUGGCUCACCCUGUAAUCCCAGCACUUUGGAGGCUGAGACAAGAGGCGAAAAGUUCGAGACCAGCCUGGGCAACCUAGCGAGACACCAUCUCUAUGAAAAAUUUAAAAAUUAGCCUAGCAUGUGUCUUGUGCCUGUGGUCCCAGCUACUCAGGAGGCUGAGGUGAGAGGAUCACUUGAGCCCCAGAGGUUGAGGUUACAGUGAGCUGUGAUCACACCACUGCACUCCAGUCUGGGUGACAGAGUGAGACACUGUCUCAAGAAAAAACAAAAAUUAAAACAAACAAUAACAACAACAACAACAACAAAAAAAAACGGCAAAGUUAGAACACACAAAAGAUAGUAUAGUUCCUUACCCAUCCACCACUUGGUUUUGAGGAGAAAAGGGAAGUAAGAAGAGUUGAAGAGAAGAAAAACAGAACAGAAGAGUGGGAAAGGAAGAUGAAAGGGUGCUAUGGAGUACUAUGCACCUGUUUAGAAGUGGGGAAGUAGCACAAACACUAGCAAAAGAAGAACCACCAUGGAGUUCCUCCUUGCACAUCUCUCUCCCCUCCUGAAGGCCUAGGGUGAGCCCACAGCAUUGUUCCAGCAGUGAGGGAGUCUUCACUGCCUCCUGAGACUCUCUCACGGCUCUUAAGAUACCUCCCUGAAGUCCCUCCAAAGAAUUCAAUGUGCCCCUAGUCUAAAUCAGUUUCCUCCAUCAUAAAUACUCAUAGAUGACGCAACAAUAAAGCGUUAAUAACGAUAA